rnacentral:rRNA from 1 species
UACGAAGGGGGCUAGCGUUGUUCGGAAUCACUGGGCGUAAAGGGCGCGUAGGCGGCUUGAUAAGUCGGGGGUGAAAGCCUGUGGCUCAACCACAGAAUUGCCUUCGAUACUGUCGAGCUUGUGACCGGAAGAGGUAAGUGGAACUGCGAGUGUAGAGGUGAAAUUCGUAGAUAUUCGCAAGAACACCAGUGGCGAAGGCGGCUUACUGGUCCGGUUCUGACGCUGAGGCGCGAAAGCGUGGGGAGCAAACAGG